rnacentral:rRNA from 1 species
UACGUAGGGACCGAGCGUUGUCCGGAAUCAUUGGGCGUAAAGAGCGUGUAGGCGGCUAUUUAAGUCCUGCGUGAAAUCCUGCGGCUCAACCGCAGACGGUCGUGGGAAACUGGAUGGCUAGAGUGCGGGAGAGGAGAGUGGAAUUCCCGGUGUAGCGGUGAAAUGCGCAGAUAUCGGGAAAAACACCCGUGGCGAAGGCGGCUCUCUGGAACGCAACUGACGCUGAGACGCGAAAGCGUGGGGAGCAACAGG